ACUGUCCCACUUUGAGCUAGUGGUCACUCUAGCCAACAAGCUGAGGUUAGCCAUUACUAUGAAGUUUAAAAGUAAACAUGAAAUCCUUAUUCACUUUUGUGUUUAAAGGUCUGUUAGCUUUUCUGAAAGGGCAUUAUUUUACCCAUACUGCAGACAUUGGUAAGUCCCAGAAUGCACAAAUUAAAACAUCAUGUGGAUAAAUUUUGAAAUAAAAAUUAUACAAUAGAAUUGCUGUGAAUUAGGUAAUGUCAGUGUAAUCUAAAUAUCCUAAAAUAAACUCCCGCAAAAUGACAGAGCACUGAAAAUUUGUAGUUGAAUUAUCUUAUAAUAUUAGAGAAUAAUUUCAGUUAUCUUGCAAAACUGAAUUAUGUUCAUUGGUGUAUUGUAUUAUCAGUAGUGAGCACUUACAAAGCAACAGAAUGCAGUUAUUUUAAAGGUGUGUGGGGUGGUGAUUCUUUCUAUACAUACUGUAAUUAAGAUUUGCUACUUAAGCCAGUCCAAUUUUUGUUUUUACUUCUUUUUUUUUUUAAGACCAGUAAUGAGUUUCUGAGAAUUACAACUGCUCCACUUCAAGCAAGAUUGCUGGUUUCCUUGGACAAGCAACACUACAAACUAAUUGAAAUCAUCAGAAACAAGGGAGGAAUUGUCAGAGAGAAGAGAUAUAAUCUUCAUCUUUAAGUUCUUCAUCUGAGCCCGGAGGUGAAUGUAUGAAGAGAGUAUCUCCUAAAAUGUCUUAUGGUGUAUUUAGUGGAAGAUGUGGACCAACUGUUUUUUGUUCAUGAAGCAUUUCAACCUUAGGACUGAAAAAUGUUAAGAGGAUUUGCUGUGAUGGCUGUGACCGAUGGUUUCACAUCAGCUGUGUUCAAUGUCCUGCAGUUGUGCCCAGCCUGCAUGUAAAAUACUGACUGGAAAAAAAAAAUCACAGUUAAAAUCAUGGUUUCUCUUUUUAUUGCUUGGGUUAUAUUGGGGGGCACUUUGUGGCUGCUCCAGUUACACUCUACUUUUUUCCUAUACUAUUUAUUUAGCCAUGCUGCAUAAGAAAUGAGUCAUGACAAAUUUGUUACUUUUAAUAAAGUGGUGUUUAAUUUAAUGUUAUAGAAUUUCCAAGUUUGAUAAGUGUCGAUUUUGGAGUGCAUGUGAGAUGCGAAUGGGAAGUAAAUGAACACGUAGCAAUGCAAAGAGGACAGAGCUGCGAAAUAUCAAAGCAAUAUUAAUUUAACAUUAUUUAAUUUAAUAUUAAUUUUAAGUCGAAUCAUAAUGGUUGUUGUUGCUGCUGUUAAGGGAAUUGAUUCCAUUGUUACUGAACGCAACUGUGUUUACAAAACUGAGAACAGGGAAAGGAACGCAUUCGCUAACGCGUUUGAAUGAAAAGGCGCGGUGGCUUUUCUUUGACGAUAGCGGUUGCAUAAUGAGAGGCAAUCUGUGGCAGAGUGUGUUUUAGAGCAUAUCACGGUGGGGCUUAUAAAUGCGCUGCUACUAUUAGCUCUUAGAAAUGUCUAUCAUUGAUGUGAGGCCUGUGAUUGCAUAAAUUCUUCUUUUCUUUAAACCUUUUCUUAUUUCCCCCCUUUUCUUAGGUUUCUUCAACUUUUAAUAUGAUUUCAACCCCUGUACUGACUAACUAGGUUACCCAGGUUACACUAUGGCAUACUGAAGUAUAAUUAUAAGGUCAUAAGUUUCAAAGGCUUUUAUUGACAAUUACAUAAAGUUUAUGCAGUAAACUGUAUGUACAGUAAAACAUCUUAAGACAAAACAUGUGCAGGAUUGCUUCUCAGUCAAGGGAUUGGCUUCACUCACAAUGAUGUUAUUGUAAAGAAUGGUACAAAAGCAUUUUUAAAGAACAACUUCCCCCAACCAUCCAGGAACAGUUUGGUGACAAACAAUGCCUUUUCCAGCAUGAUGGAGCACCUUGCUAUAAGGCAAAAGUGACUAAGUGAC